rnacentral:rRNA from 1 species
CCCUUAGACGCUCUAGGCGGCACGCGCGCUACAAUGGGUGGUAGAACGUGUAACUGCUCCCGAAAGGGAGGGUGAACCACGAAUACUUACCCGUGAAUGGGAUAGUUUGUUGCAAUUUUCGGACUUGAACUAGGAAUCCCUUGUAAGAAUGCUCAAGAAUAGCGUGCUGAAUACGUCCCUGCCGUUUGUACACACCGCCCGUCGUUUCUUCCGACUGAUACUCAUCGUGAGUUGCAAGGAUUCUUAUUGAAAAAUUGCUGCGAAUGCUUUGUAUUGGAGGAAGAAAAAGUCGUAACA